rnacentral:rRNA from 1 species
UACGGGGGGAGCAAGCGUUGUUCGGAUUUACUGGGCGUAAAGGGCGCGUAGGCGGUCAGCACAAGUCAGUUGUGAAAUCUCCGGGCUUAACUCGGAAAGGUCAACUGAUACUGUGCGACUAGAGUGCAGGAAGGGGCAACUGGAAUUCUCGGUGUAGCGGUGAAAUGCGUAGAUAUCAGGAAGGAACACCAGUGGCGAAAGCGGCCUGCCUCUGGGACGGUAGCGUAGC